UGGGGAAUAUUGGACAAUGGAGGGAACUCUGAUCCAGCAAUUCUGUGUGCACGAAGAAGGUUUUCGGAUUGUAAAGUGCUUUCAGUUGGGAAGAAGGAAGUGACGGUACCAACAGAAGAAGCGACGGCUAAAUACGUGCCAGCAGCCGCGGUAAUACGUAUGUCGCGAGCGUUAUCCGGAAUUAUUGGGCAUAAAGGGCAUCUAGGCGGUUAUGCAAGUCAGGGGUGAAAACUUACGGCUCAACCGUGAGCUUGCCUUUGAAACUGUGUGACUAGAGUACUGGAGAGGUGGGCGGAACUACACGAGUAGAGGUGAAAUUCGUAGAUAUGUGUAGGAAUGCCGAUGAUGAAGAUAGCUCACUGGACAGAAACUGACGCUGAAGUGCGAAAGCUAGGGGAGCGAACAGGAUUAGAUACCCUGGUAGUCCACGCUGUAAACGUUGGGCACUAGGUGUGGGGGCCACCCGUGGUUUCUGCGCCGUAGCUAACGCUUUAAGUGCCCCGCCUGGGGAGUACGGCCGCAAGGCUA
rnacentral:rRNA from 1 species